AGAGGUAGAGGUGCGAGUACUAAGAGUAGCUAAAUGGAGCAGAAGUGUGAUGAAGUUUAGUAAAAGGAGUAAUCGCCGAAGAUUUAUAAAUAUACUUAAAGAUUUAUAUUUCUGGGUUUGUAUAUAAUAUAUACAAGACUGUCACAAGUUUUUGUGGAGUGCUACAU
rnacentral:ncRNA from 1 species